GGGGUUGGAGGGCAAGUCUGGUGCCAGCAGCCGCGGUAAUUCCAGCUCCAAUAGCGUAUAUUAAAGUUGUUGCAGUUAAAAAGCUCGUAGUUGAAUUUCGGGAUCAGUAGGUUGGUCAUGCCUAUGGUAUGUACUGGCUUUACUGGUUCCUCCUUCUUGAUGAUCUGUAAUGUCAUUAAUUUGGUGUUGCAGGGAGUCAGGACUGUUACUUUGAAAAAAUUAGAGUGUUUAAAGCAGGCAUACGCUUGAAUACAUUAGCAUGGAAUAAUGAAAUAGGACGUUCGAUCCUAUUUUGUUGGUUUCUAGGAUUGACGUAAUGAUUAAUAGGGAUAGUUGGGGGCAUUAGUAUUCAAUUGUCAGAGGUGAAAUUCUUGGAUUUAUUGAAG
rnacentral:rRNA from 1 species